rnacentral:misc_RNA from 1 species
UUAUUUUCCUGUCUUGAAAUGGAGAAGAAUGUGUUACAGAAAUCGUUUACCUUGAAUGAUAGCGACAAAGAUUUCAAGACUAAAACAUACCAAUAUGUCUGUGCUCUACUGAAUAGCGGCGGCGGUACACUGAUACUGAAAACCAAAAAGACGGCCGAUGAAAUCAUCCGUCCGAUUGAGCAGCGUUUUCAGAAUUUCAUAGCUACGUUGGGCAUCACCAAGAAACUAAGAAUUUCCAGUGAAACAUGCAACCAAAUUAUUUUUGAAGUCAAAGCACAUGACGCUUUAUGUACGAUGAAUUACAACCUCUACUUACCAACCGAUACUCAAGUGAUGCUGGUGUGUUCUCUCGAGGUUAGUACCGUGAAGGAGAUAUUAAACAUUCGCAGAAUCGUUGAUGUUACUGAAACAGAUAAAAGUGUUCCAACUACAUUUAUUUUCGGCCGGGAUAUCGGCAUAAAAGAAUCGAAGACAGUGCAAUUCAAAAAUCUUAAAUCGAAUAAGUUAGGAAGCACAGAUCUUGCCAGCCGACUUAAAAACAACAAGUUGACUCAAUACGUCUCUGCAUUCGCUAAUCAUUGCGGGGGUCGUCUGUACUGUGGUGUUCGAGAUGACGGAAUAGUCGAGGGGCAGAAAGUAAUGGACGAAGAAAAAGAAGACUUGAUUAAGAAAGUCAGUGAGUGUAUAAACGAGAUGAUAUGGCCUGAUUAUUGUGGUGAGCCACAAAGGGGAAGACAUGGGCAGUGGGAUAUCUCUUUCGAGCCUGUGACAGACGACGAAGGUAGCCCGAUCCGAUUAACAUUUGUUAUCGUGAUAUUUGUAGCUGCUUGCCAAGGAGGCGUAUUCUGUAGUGAACCAGAGAGUUACCACAUUGUUGAUGACACAGCCAAGAAAAUGACAUUUGCGGAGUGGAAAAGAAGAUNUUUUUAUCCGAUCACGGAGCGAGACACUAAGAUAGUCCCUACAGUGUCACGGAUUUGUUGGAGUUCGCCGAAAUUAAGGCUAUAUUGUGACAAACUUGAUGGAGAACUGCUGAGAGAAGUAAAUAACGGAAAAUGGGAUAAAUUUAAUCAACAUCUUGCAGAGUUGCAGAAAGGCGAUAACACGGGUGUCGAGGAGCGAUUGGUUGUCUUAUCAAAGCGGUAUUUGUUUCAUUACAGAAAGAGCCAGUACGAAGAAGCCAAAAAUUGUCUCACAGACUUUGAUGUUCUUUUAUCAAAAACAGAAAAUACCACAAUUUUCGAUAUUAGGAGAAGCCUUAUACUUUCGGCAAUGGAACGAUCUCGUGGCAAUCACAAAGAAAGUUACGAAAUUGCAAGGGAUUGUUUAUUUAAAGUCGAACAGCUUGCUCCAAGUAUUUUGACUGCAGAAUUUUACGUGCACUUUGCCACCAUGCUCACGAUCAUCGAAAGCAACAAGGACCUAAAAGACUUGCUGAAGAAGGACUUACAAAACCGUUACGAUUUCAAAUACGAAGCCCUCUUAUUCUACAAUAAAGCACUCCGACAUCUGAAAGAAGCCGAUUACGUUCCAGAAUCAAAAACUGAUAUGCAACAAAAAACUUUUAUCAACAUGGCUAUUUUGAAAUUAGGUUGUUCGCUUUCUGGUGAUGUCGUAGAUGAUUUGGUCACUGAAGAGGACAUUAAAGUAGCAAUCGAUUGCUUAAAACGAGCAAGUGAUUUGGAGAUAGAUUCCGGUUCAAUGAAUGGUUUUCGUAAAUGCCAACAUAGCUUUGCGAAAUCCAGCCUUUCCUAUCGGAGGUCUCAAGCUCAAAAAACGCUAAAGAAACGCAUUGAUAUUCUUGAUCAUGCUAUAGAUGAAGCUGAAGAAGCUGAGGAUCGUGCUAAUAAACACCAUUUUGAUGAAUUAUCACGUUAUGCUAGACAGCACGCACGAGUGUUCAACUUGUUCAAGAAUGGAACUAGAUAAACUAUAUAACACUGGAUUACAGCAGUAAUAAUAAUAAGGUAGGAUUUGAAAAUCCAAAGCAAGUUCUACAUUCUAAAAGAUGGGGCUGAAGUCAUUACCUGAUCUCGAUGGCGUUAGUUG